CGCGGGAGCGCGCACGAGCACGUGACCGCCUCCGCAGCCGAUCGCUGGUUUGGAGGCGUUCGGCUCUUGUCUGUUUGCGUCAAGAUUGGGAGGUGGCUUCUGAAGAAUGAAGACCAGCAGGGCUGCAGAAGGGAAGGAGACCUUGCAUUAGAGUAAACCCGCUCAGACGUGGGAAAGGAAAGAAUGCCAGCUUAGACAGUGAAUUCAGGUGGAAGAGGACUCUAGGAGUGGAGGAAAGAGAAGAGAACUUUAAGACUUAAGAUGCAACUGAGGGGGCCGGCAAGUGGCA